GGCCGAGCGAUCCCGGAAGGAGCCGAAGCGACAAUGCGGGGGAAGAGAUAGAGUCUUCCUCUGUCGCCUAGGCUGGAGUGCAGUGGCGCGAUCUCGGCGCACCGCAACCUCUGCCUCCCGGGUUCAAGCGAAUUCUCCUGCCUCAGCCUCCGGAGUAGCUGGGAUUACAGAUGUGCUCCACCAUGCCCGGCUAAUUUUUGUAUUUUUAGUAGAGAUGGGGGGGUUUCACCAUGUUGGCCAGGCUGGUCUCGAACUCCUGACCUUGUGAUCCACUAGCUUCGGCCUCCCGAAGUUCUGGGAUUACAGGCAUGAGCCACCACACCCGGAUGAAUUAUGCCAUUUUUAAGGCAAAGGUCUCCGUAACUAUUAAUUUCUCUGUCCUUCUAAUCUGUAUUCCCUGAGAAAUUAAUUGGGCUGGCAAGUCAAAGCCCUGAACCCCAGCUGCAGCUUUCUGAGCUUGUUCUGUCCAUCUGUGAAGUAAGGCAAUGAGAAGUGAGUCGGGGAACGGAACCCACGAUGCGUCAGAGGAGUGUUCCAGUUGCACACACACUCCCCAGCCACCUGGCAGCUCAGUCUAUAAUCUGGAGGCUUCCACAUCUACAGCUCCAUACAAAUGAACCUCUGGUUCUAAAGAAGUUUCUUCCUUGUCUGGUUCUCACUUUCUAAACCUCAGUCUCUGGAGAGAAAAGGAGUCCUGGAGGAUGAACAAGGCGAGCUUGGAGUAAUUUGGAAAAGCUAAUGUUGUAGGACAGAAGCAAAGCCUGCAAGUCACAGCCUAGGUUCCCUGAGUGAUGUUUUCAGCAGUAAACUGCAACUUCAAAGCUAA
rnacentral:lncRNA from 1 species